GUUGUGGUGGUGGUGUGUAUAUUGUAGUGGUUGUGGUGGUGGUGGUAGUGGUGGUUUUGGUGGCUUUUGCAGUAGUAGUAGUAGUAGUAGUGGUGGUGGUGGUGGUAGAGAAAGGAAAGGAAUGGUAGAUAUAGAAAAAGAAGGGAAGGAAACAGAGAGAAGAAGAGGAAAGGAAGGAAAGAAAGUGGUGUAUGGGAAAGGAAGGGAAUUUUGAAUGGGAAAGGAAAGGGAAGAAUUAGCACACAGAGAAAGGGAAGAGAAGGAAAUAGUGUCUAGGAACGGAACAGAAAGUAAGAGAAGAAAAGAAAAGGAAGAAAGGGAAGGGGGAGAAAUGAGCUCAGUGACAGUGACGGAGGUGAUGAUGGUGAUGAAGAAGUGUGAGUCUUAACAAAUAGUGAGACAGCGGAUUGCAUGGUUAGGUGGUGGUGGUAGUGAUGGUGGUAUCUUGGUAGUAACUGGUUCUUAGUGGGUAGCGAGUGCGCAGGUGGAGGUGGUAAGUGGAGUAGAGAUAUUGAGUUAACUAUUAGUGGGUUAUGGGCCAUGGGUAGGUGGGUAAGAGGUGGGUUGGGGGAGGUGACUGUGGUAAGGAAGGUGGGUGUGUAAGGUAAGGUCGGGAGAUGAUGGUAGUAAGGUAGGAGGGUAAGGUAGGUAAGGAGGGCGUUUAAGGUAAGUUCGGGAGGUGUUAGAGGCAAACAUUUAAAGGUGGCAGCCGUAGAAAUAAUACCAAUAACAACAAACGCUAAAUAAGUACACUAUUCUAAGUAACACUAACCUACCUCGGCUACGUGAUAAGUGUUUCGGAGCUGCGGCAUUAGGUUAAGGGUGGAGGACGCGCUCGUCAUAACAACAGUGACUAAUGAGGAUAAUAAUGCUAUUUUAUUAACAGCAUAAGGAGGUAACCAGUAUUAAUAUUUCAAGCAGAGGUCAUUGGGUGGGAUGGAGGUGGUGUUGGUAAUAAUAGUAAUAGUAAUAAAAUUUGCUUCUCAUUAAUGCUAUUUUCUAAUGCGUAUAAUGACCCUUCAAGUUGGCUAGCAGUCUAAUGAUCUUGUGGCAUCUGCUAGUAGUAAUAAUGAUCAUAAAAUUUGCUCAACAUUAAUGCUAUUUACAUAUACAUCAAUAAUUCAAGUUGGCUAGCAGUCUAAUGAUCUUGUGGCAUCUGCUAGUAGUAUUAAUGAUCAUAAAAUUUGCUCAACAUCAAUGCUAUUUUCAUAUACGUCAAUAAUUCAAGUUUGCUAGUAGUCUAAUGAUCUUGUGGCAUCUGUGCUAGUAGUAUUAAUGAUCAUAAAAUUUGCUCAACAUCAAUGCUAUUUUCAUAUACGUCAAUAAUUCAAGUUUGCUAGUAGUCUAAUGAUCUUGUGGCAUCUGCUAGUAGUAUUAAUGAUCAUAAAAUUUGCUCAACAUUAAUGCUAUUUACAUAUACGUCAAUAAUUCAAGUUUGCUAGCAGUCUAAUGAUCUUGUGACAUCUGUGCUAGUAGUAUUAAUGAUCAUAAAAUUUGCUCAACAUUAAUGCUAUUUACAUAUACAUCAAUAAGUCAAGUUUGCUAGCAGUCUAAUGAUCUUGUGGCAUCUGCUAGUAGUAUUAAUGAUCAUAAAAUUUGCUCAACAUUAAUGCUAUUUACAUAUACGUCAAUAAUUCAAGUUUGCUAGCAGUCUAAUGAUCUUGUGGCAUUUGCUAGUGGUAUUAAUGAUCAUAAAAUUUGCUCAACAUUAACGCUAUUUACAUAUACGUCAAUAAUUCAAGUUGGCUAGUAGUCUAAUGAUCUUGUGACAUCUGUGCUAGUAGUAUUAAUGAUCAUAAAAUUUGCUCAACAUUAACGCUGUUUUCAUAUACGUCAAUAAUUCAAGUUUGCUAGUAGUCUAAUGAUCUUGUGGCAUCUGUGCUAGUAGUAUUAAUGAUCAUAAAAUUUGCUCAACAUUAACGCUAUUUACAUAUACGUCAAUAAUUCAAGUUUGCUAGCAGUCUAAUGAUCUUGUGGCAUCUGUGCUAGUAGUAUUAAUGAUCAUAAAAUUUACUCAACAUCAACGCUAUUUUCAUAUACGUCAAUAAUUCAAGUUUGCUAGUAGUCUAAUGAUCUUGUGGAAACCUUAAUGCUAAUAUAAUGACCCUUCAAGUUGGCUAGCAGUAUAAUGAUCUGUGUGCUGUAAUGACCAUGCUAAUAUAUCAUCGCUACUUCUUUCGCCGUAAUUAAAAUGCCUAAUCAGUAAGACAUUAAUUUCUCGGACAGGUGUUAUAAUGUAUCUAAUUAACCAGAGCAGGUGUUGUUGUUGUUGUUGUUGUUGACGGUAUAAAGCAAAUUCAUUCACAUUAAUAAUUGCUUGAUAAUUCUAAUGUUGGUUUGGACGUUGGCUGCUGUCCGCUUAACGUUGAUUUUGUUGAUGUAUUUUUACCUGAAGGGAGUGUAAUUUAUUAAUGCAGUAACCUGUUGAGUGUAGGAUUAGUAUUAUUGAUUUGUGAAAGAGUUAUAAAGUGCGUGUGUGUGUGUGUGUGUCAGGAAGCGUAGAUGUGUGUAUAUGUCCGUGUGUGUCUGCAAUGUAUGUAUAAUCGAAUGUAUUUGUGAGUAUGUAUGUGUGCGUCAUUGUCUGUGUGUGUGUGUGUGUGUGUGUGUGUAUGAAUGACUGAACGUAUUUGUGUGUGUACCAGUGUUUGUGUGCGUGUGUGUGUGUAUAUCAAUGUAUGUAUGUGUGUGUGUCAAUGUCUGUAUGUCUAUCUGUGUGUGUGUGUGUGUGUGUGUGUGUG